rnacentral:rRNA from 1 species
AACGAACGCUGGCGGCAGGCCUAACACAUGCAAGUCGAGCGAGGACUUCGGUCCUAGCGGCGGACGGGUGAGUAACGCGUGGGAACGUGCCCUUUGCUUCGGAAUAGCCCUGGGAAACUGGGAGUAAUACCGGAUGAGCCCUUUGGGGGAAAGAUUUAUCGGCGAAGGAUCGGCCCGCGUCGGAUUAGGUAGUUGGUGGGGUAAUGGCCUACCAAGCCGACGAUCCAUAGCUGGUUUGAGAGGAUGAUCAGCCACACUGGGACUGAGACACGGCCCAGACUCCUACGGGAGGCAGCAGUGGGGAAUCUUAGACAAUGGGGGAAACCCUGAUCUAGCCAUGCCGCGUGAGCGAUGAAGGCCUUAGGGUUGUAAAGCUCUUUCAGCUGGGAAGAUAAUGACGGUACCAGCAGAAGAAGCCCCGGCUAACUCCGUG